UAAUACGGGGGGAGCAAGCGUUGUUCGGAUUUACUGGGCGUAAAGGGCGCGUAGGCGGCCACCGCAAGUCAGUUGUGAAAUCUCCGGGCUUAACUCGGAAAGGUCAACUGAUACUGCGGGGCUAGAGUGCGGAAGGGGCAACUGGAAUUCUCGGUGUAGCGGUGAAAUGCGUAGAUAUCGAGAGGAACACCUGCGGCGAAGGCGGGUUGCUGGGCCGACACUGACGCUGAGGCGCGAAAGCUAGGGGAGCGAACGGGAUUAGAUACCCCGGUAGUCCUAGCCGUAAACGAUGAGCACUAGGUCGUGGGCCUCCACAGGCCCUCGGCCGUAGCGAAAGUGUUAAGUGCUCCGCCUGGGGAGUAUGGACGCAAGGCUG
rnacentral:rRNA from 1 species